GUGCUUGGUUUGGCAGCACAUAUACUAAAAUUGGAAAGAUACAGAGAAGAUUAGCAUGGACCCUGUGCAAGGAUGACAUACAAAUGUGUGAAGUGUUCCAUAUUUAA
ensembl:snRNA U6 U6 spliceosomal RNA